rnacentral:rRNA from 1 species
CAAUAGCGUAUAUUUAAGUUGUUGCAGUUAAAAAGCUCGUAGUUGGAUUUCGGAUGGGAUUUGCCGGUCCGUCGUUACGAUGUGCACUGGCCAGUCCUAUCUUGUUGUCGGGGACUAGCUCCUUGGUUUCACUUCCUGGGACUAGGAGCUGACGAGGUUACUUUGAGUAAAUUAGAGUGUUCAAAGCAAGCCUACGCUCUGAAUACAUUAGCAUGGAAUAACACGAUAGGACUCUGGCUUAUCUUGUUGGUCUGUGAGACCAGAGUAAUGAUUAAGAGGGACAGUCGGGGACAUUCGUAUUUCAUUGUCAGAGGUGAAAUUCUUGGAUUUAUGAAAGACGAACUUCUGCGAAAGCAUUUGUCAAGGAUGUUUUCAUUAA